AACUAUUUAAACUAUCUGGAAAUCAAAUUUCACACAUUUUCGAUAUUGCUCUCUUGUCCAUCAAGUAAAUAGAAAAAUGAAUGAUUAGAACUGAAUAUCCUUCAAAAAGUGAUGAUACAAUUUUUUUAUUUGAGAUCUAGAGUCUAGAUCUUAUUUUAAAUAGUGUAAAGAAUUGUUUAACAAAAAUUUAGUUGAUUUGAACUCUUCUAUACCGUUAAAGGAGCAAACGCACCAUAUCGGCCAUUAAAAUUAUAGAUUUUGUGACUCUUUGAUCGUUCAGUUAGUGAUGCCAAAAAAUUUUGAAAUUUGAUUUCUAGAUAAUUUAAAUAGUCUAGAUCAUGUUCAACGGUGCCGAUCGUCGAUUUAGAAGCCCUAUUAUUAAAAACAAAUCAGUAGUAAACCGAGCAGUUUACUACCGAUAGUAGCCCAGUCAAGCUCUAUAUAAUAGAAUACAUAAAUUGACAAUCCCAUCGCAUC
rnacentral:lncRNA from 1 species